AUCAGCGUGGAGCCCCGCAGACAGCGAUUCUGCUGAAGGCACAGGAACCCGGCAGGAGGAGUGGAAGGAGUACAUCCAAAGCGAUGGGGAGCGGGGUUUACAUGCGUCUUUAUACGAAACGUUAUAAGUUGUUUUGUAAAGGUCUCUGAGCGAUAAAAAGGGACAAACGUUAAAAAAAAAUCAAUAUUGUCUAGCUCUAUAUUAACCCAGCGUGCAAAGAAACGUGGCAAAUACACUUUAUUGCUUUAGUUUAAUAGUUUCCUCAUCUUGUCGAGAAUAUGGGAGGCACGAUGGAUGCUGUACCAGACGGAGCUGGCAUGCUUGUGAUAACGGGCCACGUCGUGGCAUACAAUGUCUUUCCACAAUGUCUUGCUUUUUAAAAAAUGUAUGAUGACUAUAUGCUCUGUAAGGUGACCUUGGGUGUCUUGAAAGGCGCCUCUAAAUUAAAUGAAGACAUUGUGUAGUGAAACUGGAAGAAAGAACUUGUUAAAGUACUUAAAGCGGACUCUUAUCGGCCUGAACUGGUCGCUGGUGAGGACCCCCAGAAGGGCAAAAACAAUCUGCUCGCCCAUCGGUAAUUUUCCAUCAACUUGGUCAAAGGCGUGGCCUACAGAGGGGGCCAAACACCAUUUAAAGUAGGCUACGGUACUUUUGCCCGCCCGAAAGUGAAAGUAAACCGUUCGCUUGUUGAUGAAUUAGGAUUAGGAAGUUAUAUGAUAUUCUUUUUAGUUUAAAAUCGGAAUUCUGUGUAUAAAGUUCUGAUUCUGAGAAUGAAGUGAGGGUUCUGAGAAAAAAGUCUGAAUUCUGAGAUUUAAGUCAGAAUUCGGAAUUUAAACUCAGAAUGUCACAUCAAAUAUGACCAUAAUCCUCUCGAACAAGCAACAACUCGCUUACAUCCGAUUUCCUCAGUCAGCUCGUGGUUCCUGUCCUGUAUGUCGCCUGCACUCUAGGAUUGUCAUCUUACUCUGCCAAAAAUAAACAACAGGCCUGUCACCAUCCCCCGUAACACCUCCCACCGGCUCCAGCCGCCCCCCCCCGACACAGCAGGGGCCUGGACAUCUCACAGCUGCCCACGACAGUGGCCCUGAAUUCCCCUACCACAAUGACGACCCCCAUCAACGUGGAGAGGGACGUUAACAGACUCUUCAAGAGACAGAACCCCCACAGGGCAGCCAGUUCAGACUCGUCUCUCCAACCGCCCGAAGCACUUUGCCCAUUAGCUGUCGCAGACGUCUUCAUCAUCUCACUGGAGACAUGCAAGGAACCAGCAUACUGCAAAAAACACCAUCCCCCAUAAUGCCAAGCACCACAGGAUAUAACGUCUACAGGCACGUCUCCCUGACCUGUGGUAAUUAGCCAUAUGAGCACCUUGUGUUGUCCCAACUCAUAAUCUUCCGGAUGCUCUCCUGGACCCCCUGCAGUUUGACUACAUAGCCAACAUGUAGACCGGCAGUAAGCAUGGCCCUACACUGAAUCCUCCUGCACCUGGUCUCCGCAGGAACCUACACCUGGGGCCUUUUUGUGGAUUCUAGCUUCACCACCAUCAAUCCGGCUCUGCUAUGGGAUAAGCUCUGAGCGUGCCCGACUCCACCUGCAGAUGGACCAUUGACUUCCUGUAUGACCGGAAGCCUCACGUGAAGCUGGGAAACACGUCUCUGACUCCUGGACCAUCAGCGCAGAUUCACCUCAAGGCUUUACUCUUUCCCUUCUGCUCUUCUCACUGUGUACCAACAGCUGCACCUCCAGUCACCAGUCUGUCAACCUCCUGAAGGUCGUGGCAACACCGCCCUCAUUGGCUCAUCUCUGCUGGAGAUGAGUUUGCCUGCAUUGGGAGAUUUAGCAUCCGGUUACCUGGUGUGGACUGAACAACCUGGAGCUCAACACCCUGAAGACAGUGUUGAUGGUUGUGGACUUCAGGAAGAAUCCAGCCCCGCUCGCCCCAAUCCCCCUUUGUGUCUCCCAAGUCAUCCCCUUCGAGUCCCUCUGUUUCCUCUGUCAGCUGAACCUCAGCUCUCUCACCAAAAAUAAAUAAAAACAGGAUGUACCUCCUAGUGCAUCUGAGGAUGUUCAACCUGCCUUAGACGAUGACGGUACACUUCUGCACCUCCUCCAUCACCAUCUGGUAAGCUGCUGCCACUGCCAAUGACAAGGGGUUAGUGUCAUUCGACCGGCAGAGAAGGUGAUUGGUUGCAAUCUGCCAGCUCUCCAGGACCCUGAGGCGAGCAGGAAAGAAUGUGGCUGAUCCCUCCCACCCCAGACACAAACAGUUUAAAACACUUCCCCCGGGCAGGGGGCUCCAUCUGGACCAAAAUCGAAUGCCACCAGUAACCUUUCUUCCUGUCUACUGUCGGCCUCCUCAUCAAGGCCCGGAACCCCCAUAGACUCCCACCCCAGCUCCAUAGACCCUACACAUUACAUCAACGUAAAGUUUCCACACCUAAUCGUCACAUUAACGCAUAGAUCACUGGACCAUAGUCCUUGGGCAUAACACAAACUGUGUACUUUAAUCUGUGAACCGCUGCACAUUCCAUGGUCCAUACUUUGCAUAUUCUUGCACAAACUGCUAAUUGUUAUUAACAUUUAGAUUUAGCAUACGCUUUUAUCAAAAGCGACGAACAAUAAGUAAAUUUUUUCAGAAGUUAGAGAAACAACAAUUUAACGCUGUCGGUACAGUAGGGAAGUUCAUAGAUUAAGUGCCAAGCAUUUACAAUUGCUAGGUUGACCCAUUCCCUUUUUUCCCAUAAAGAUAGCUCGGGAAAUAUGCUACUCAAUGCUAAUUUAAAGUAACAGGACAUAACGCAUAAAAAAGUGCAUACGUUAAGUGACAGGACGUACAAAUGUACAAUAAGUGCGAAAGAGGUUUUUUUUUUAGGAUUAAGGCAGGAGGAAAGGCGGUUGGGGAUAAAGAGGGAAGCUAUGCAGCGUCCAGGUGAACUCUGAACAGGUGAGUUUUAAGUCUCUUGUGAAAGCUGGUGAGCAACUGCACUCCUGACAUCGGCAGGGGGCUCGUUGAACUAUUGCGUUGCCAGAACAGAGAAUAAGUUUGACUUUGUUGUGCAACCUUUGCUUGCUCUUAGCGAUGGCAGUGCAAGACGUCCAGCUGAGGUAAUUGAGCGGAGCGCACAAGUGGUGUGUGGUCUGACUUAGACUUGGAGGUAGGCAGGGGCAUUUCCAGUUCACCCUUGUAGGCCAGUAACAUUGUCAUGAAUCUUGAUGCAUGCUACUACAGGGAGCCCGUGGAGGUUACGGAAGACAGGGGUUAAUGAGGAAAUCUUGGUAAGUUGAACACGAGGCGUGCUGCUGCGUUCUGGAUACCCUGUAAAGGUUUGAUGGCGGAGGAAGGGAGUCCAGCCGGGAGCGAGUUGCAGUAGUCGAGGCCUCAGAUGAUGAGCGCUUGGACCAAGGGCUGAGCUGCUUCCCUUUUGAGGGAGGGCCGUAUCCUGCAGAUGUUGUAGAGAGCAAAUCCGUUAUCAAUUUUAUACCGAUUUUUCUUGACCAACAGAUCUUUCUUUAUAUUUUAUUUCUUUCUUCCAUUCUUUAUAUUAUACGUUUAGGUCUCUUUACUAUUAAUAAUUACUUAUUAUUGUGCGUAAAGCACGGGACAAAUUCCUAAUGCGAUGUUGAAAAUAAAGUCAAAUCUCAUUCUGA